GGUGAAAGAACUAUAUAAAGCACUAAAAAGCAAAGACAAGCUCUUAUACCUUCCGCAUAAUGUAUUAACUAGAAGUAACUUUACACAGAGGAUUAUAGCCAUGUCCCCCAAAACCAGAUGAGCUACCCAAGAACAACUGAAGAGUACACCCAUCUAUGUGGCAAAAUAGUUGGGAGAUUCAUAACUAGCGGUGACAAGCCUACCAAGCCUGGUGAUAGUUGGUUGUCCAACGUGGAAUCUUAGUUCAACUUUAAACUUACCCACAGAAUUAUUUACUCUCCCUGUAAAUUUAGCUGUUAGUCUAAGAGGGACAGCUCUGUAGACCCUACGAAACGACGUUCCUACAGAGAGUAAAAAAUACUACCACCAUAGUUGGCCCAAAAGCAGCCACCAAUUAAGAAAGCAUUUAAAGCUCAACAUCUAACUAUCUUCAAUUCUAAUCACUCUACUGAACUCCUAACAUCAUACUGGACUAAUCAAUUACUUAAUAGAACCAAUAAUGUUAAUAUAAACAUUCUCCAUUGCAUAAGUUUACAUCAGACUGGAAUAACCCACUGACAGUUAACAACCUAAUAUUAAUAAAUGAUAUAAUAAGCACCCUAUUAUUUACACUGUUAACCCAACUAAGGUAUGCUCUAAGGAAAGAUUGCAAAAAGUAAGAGGAACAUGACAAAUCUUACCCCACCUGUUUACCAAAAACAUCACCUCUAGCAUUACCAGUAUUAGAGUCACUGCCUGCCCAGUGACAUAUGUUCAACGGCCAUGGUAUCCUGACCGUGCAAAGGUAGCAUAAUCACUUGUUCCCUAAAUAGGGACUUGUAUGAAUGGACACACAAGGGUUCAGCUGUCUCUUACUUUUAAUCAGUGAAAUUGACCUAUCUGUGAAGAGGCGGAUAUAAACAAAUGAGACUAGAAGACCCUAUGGAGCUUUAAUUCAUUAAUGCAAAUAAAAACCCAAACAUGCCUAGAGGCCCUGGCCUACUAUCCCUGCAUUAAAAAUUUUGGUUGGGGUGACCUCGGAGCAUAGUUCAACCUCCGAACAACCUAAACUAAGACUGCAGUAGUCUAAGCGAGUUAGUACACAUUGACCAAAUAAUUCGAUCAACGGAAUAAAUUACCCUACGGAUAAAAGUAUUGACAAUAGGGUUUACAACCUCGAUGUUGGAUGAGGACAUCCUAAUGGUGUAGCCGCUAUUAAGGGUUCGUUUGUUUAACGGUUAAAGUUCUAUGUGAUCUGAGUUCAGACCUGAGUAAUCCAGGUCAGUUUCUAUCUAUAUAACAUUUAUCUU
rnacentral:rRNA from 1 species